UCCAAUUGUCCAAAUUGGUAGUUAAGCUGAAAAUGACAAACAGGUGAACACUGGCCAGUUGGUGCCUAGAAUACUACGCUGAAAAAAGAUCUGAGGGAAAGUGGGAGAUUGAUGAACCACUUGUGCCAAAGUAGUUCCGUCACGUAUGCUUGGCAAUUUUGGUCUCUGAGAAAUCAUUUUCACUAUGCGCAGAUGUCUCUGCUUGAGAAAAAAUAUACAGCUCAAAAUCUAGCAUAUUUGAAAAGUUAUCUAGAAUCUGCAGAGGUCCACACACUGGAAGAGGCCUCUAAAUGAAUACAUAAGAAGUAGAAGAUGCAAACCUGGAGAUAUACUGAGUAACUAACUGUUUUGGCCAGUUUUUCCCAUGAGAUAUGUUUUAUCAGGAUGAUACACGUUUUUAAUCUCCCAGGUCCCCAUAGGGAACAUACAUUUUCUGUAUUCAUAUAAC
rnacentral:lncRNA from 1 species